rnacentral:lncRNA from 1 species
UCUCAUCGCUUGUGGGUUUUUUAUCAGUUCCGACAUUGCCCACUCUACUGUAGUUGAGGAUGUCUCACUUCCAGCACUGAACACGUCCUGAAAUUUAUAGGGUUUGUAUGUUUCAGUAUAGGUUAUACACAGAAAAUCUGCUUUGGUUGACAUUUUCGAAAACUUGAAAAAAUCCUAUACGCCAAAAAGAUGUUCCCAUAUUCUUGAAAAUCAUAGAAAAAAUGAAUAAGAUGAUAUAAAGGAUGAAUAUUUUUUGUUUGUUUCUGAAAGAUGUUCUGAAAAACUACUUCUGAAAACAACAACAAUAUUGCAAAAAGGGAUCUCUUGACACGAAAGAUUGAAAGAUACAACAGAGUAAAAAUAGCGAAGAAACAAAUUUAUGCAUAUAAUUAUUGUGGACCUCACACCAUUAAACCAUGCGUAGAAGUUGAUGAGGGAAAAUUCUCCGCCUGCUGAUUGAACUAAGGUAAGCAUCUCGCCUAAAGAGAUCAUGUCGCCAAUACCUCCUGUGAUCCAUGCUGAGCUCACCUAGUCUCCCCGAAUAGUUUGACCACCUUGUACCACCGCCUUGCCUAUGGGCGAGGAGAACCAUCUCGCCAGGUCUUUGUGGAUAAGAUCAAUGUGAGUCUCCAUCUUCUCCCGGACUCCUACCUUCAUGGUACCACCUCCAUAUGGCAUUCUCUUGAUUCUUCUCUGACAUCCACGGGAUCUCCUUUCAUACUUAGCGACCCGAGAAUUUUGCUGUGAUCUCCUCACACGGCUCUCCCUCCUCCAUCUAUAAAAGGCCGCUCCCCCUCCAUGGAAAAGGUGUGAAAUCACUCACAUCCUCACUUUUAGAGCUCUGAUACUGUGCCUGCUUUACUUGGUCCACUUUGCUCGUCUAGAUCUAAUCUCCACGCCGAAAGGGUUUGUAGCGCCCCCGGCCAGUAACAUUUGUUCUCUUGAGCAGGUCGCCCAAGAUCAAAUACCGAGGUAGAAAAGCAACUUUGACUAUUGGUUGCUUGCCCCCAAAUUUCUACCACAACAGUUUGGUGCUAUCUGUGGGAACGACAGUUCUCUAUACCUUAUGCACCUGCGCUAUUGCUUACUAUCUAGACCAAAUAUCAGCAGCCCUUUAGAUAAUAGAGCACAUCCUAUGGCGAACACCAGCCAAGCUCCAGAUGAUGAGGGCCUCCACCGUGCGAUGCAUAGGAUCGUCGAGCAGAUUAGGAUCGUGAACGAGAAGAAUGCCGACUUGAUACAACACCUCGCCGUGAACAACUCACCUCAUGCCGUAGCCCCUGUUCAGGAAGAGACUAACCAAUCUCACCGUUCUCAUCGAUCUGGGGGCCAUGAUUCUCAAAAUUCCUAAAGCACUAGUCAGGCAUAUUCCACCAGGAGUCGACGUCGCUGAUCACCAAGUUUGCACUCCAGGCGAGAAAGAAGUUUUAUCCUUUUAAAGUCUCGGUCUUCAAGCUGAACUCCUGAUACGGAUGGUAAGGAAACCAAGAAAAGAGGAAGAUCACCUUGCCGUGAUGACUGAGCCCCCAAAGGUCGAGAUAAGUCCACCACCCAGAAGAUUAAAGACCUGGAUGCCCGGAUUGACACCAUCAACAUUAGUGCAAAUGCUCCAGUCACUAUAGAAGCUUUGAUCAGAUAGACCAAACUUCCAUUCACAAAUAGGGUGAUGAAAGUCAAGGUGUCCUCUAGAUUCAAGUUGACAUCCCAGCUCGGGGUGUACAAAGGGAAAACAGAUCCCAUGGACUACCUGGAUUCGUACAAGAACCUGAUGUCGCUCCAGGGGUAUUCGAACGAGGUAAUGUGUAAAACUUUUUGAAGGGCCCGACGAGAUCAUGGUUCAGAAAGUUGUCUUUGAGAACCAUUGAUUCAUUUGGCGACCUGAGCAAGCUCUUUGUCACCAAUUUCAUGAGUUGCAGGGUCAGACAGAAUAAUGCCUCUUACCUCUUCACGGUUCACCAAAAAGAAGGAAAGAGCUUGAAAGACUGCGUCAAACGGUUCAAUUAGGUUGUUCUGGAGGUAGAGGACCCCAGUGAUAAAGUGAUGGUUAUGGCCAUAAUAGAAGGACAUCGCCUAGGCCCGCUGUUUGACUCCCUCUCCAAGAACUUCGUCGAAACCUUGUUGACGCUCCAAAGCAAGGCUGACAAGUAUAUUGUUGUAGAAGAGUUGGUCGAAGCCAAGUAGAGGAGGCGAGGAAAGGAUGAUCACAAGAGAAAGGAGUCCUAUACUCGACGAUCGGACUAUUGGGACAAGAUGAAAAGCAAGAGGUCGGACCGAGAAACUAGGAGAAUGACUAACGACCGACGUCCCCGCAUGCCACCUCGUCGACCCUACCUUAUAUUGCCUCUUCUUAACACCCAUAUAGCCUAGGUGCUCAUGGAGAUCAAGAAUGAGGAAUUUAUGAAGUGGCCAAGAAAAAUCAAGACCAACACCCUCAGGAGAAAUAAAAACAAGUACUGUGAGUUUCUCAGGGACAAUAGGCACAACAUCAAGGAUUGUUUCCAGCUGAAGGAGCAGAUAGCCAACCUAAUUAGUAGAGGAUAUUUGAGAAAGUAUGUAACUGAUCGCCCACGAUCCAACUCGCCUGAUGAAAGAUAUGGUGACAAUAGGCCGACAACAAUUAAUAUCCAGACCAUUCAUAGGGGGUUUGGAUAAAGAGGAUUUUUAAGCUUGUCCCAGAAGAGGCAUGCCAGAGAAGCUAACGAGCGAGUUGAAGAAGAAGUAUACAACCUCUCCAUGCCUAUUAAUGAAGUUCACCAAACCAUUGCCUUCACCAAUGAUGACCUGAGAGGUUUGCGUCUGCCCCUUGAUGAUGCAUUGGUAUUCUCCACCAUGAUCUCCAAUUUCAACGUAUAAAGAAUCUUGGUCGAUAAUCAUAGUUCUACUGAUAUUCUGUUCAUCUUGGCAUUUGAUAAGAUAAAAAUUGGGUGAGACAAGCUUUUACCCCUUUCACACCCCUUUGACCGAGUUUGGAGGAAGUUUAACAGAUCCGCUGGGGUGGAUCAAGUUGCAUUUAACUUUGAGAAUGGAGCCUCACCAGUGUGGUAAGAUUUCAUUGUUGUGGACUGCCCAUUGCCUUACAAUGCAAUCUUAGGUUGCCCAGCCCUGAAAAAAAUCAAGGCGAUCACCUCCACCUAUCACCUAAUAUUGAAAUUUCCUACUUCAAUCAGGAUAGGUGAGGUAAGGGGCAAUCAAAAGAUCGCAAGUUAGUGCUUCAUUACGGUGAUGAAGACCAAUUUCACUCCAAAUCCAAGCUCCCAAUAGCAAUUACAGAUUGACGACACCGAGAUGAAGGUGCUAAGGGACAAAAUUGGAGAAGUAACUCUUGUUGAUCCCAAAGAGACAAAGAACACCAAGCCUCUGGAAGAUGUGGUUCUGAUUUCUAUACACCCUGACUAUCUAAAUCGCCACAUUACGAUUGGAACCGAAUUGUCCGAAGAACUGCAAAGUGGUUUGGUGGAGUUUUUAAACAAAAACUAUGACGUCUUUGCAUGGUCAUAGUUAAUGUCCCAAGCAUAGAUCCUAAGGUUGCCAUCUAUAGGCUAUUUACCGACCCUAACCAUCCUCUAGUUCACCAAAAAAGAAGGAAGUUCGCACUAGAGCGAUUAAAGAUCAUAGAAGAAGAAGUGGCUAAGCUCAUCAAAGCCAAAAUAUUAGGGAUGCCCAUUACCCGGAUUGGCUCACCAAUGUCAUUGUUGCCCCCCAAAAGGGGGGAAGUGGAGAGUGUGUGUUUGAUUUUACUGACCUGAACAAAGCUUGCCCUAAGGAUAGUUUUUCUCUGCCAAACAUUGAUCUAAUUGUGGAUGCGACCUCCAAACACGAACUCCUCAACUUCAUGGAUGCCUUCUCAGGGUAUCAUCAGAUCUAAAUGCAUCCUCCCGACGUGGAAAAAACCUCUUUCAUCAUAGAAAGAGGACUGUAUUACUAUAACAUCAUAUUUUUGGGGUUGAAGAACGUAGGGGCGACGUACCAUAAAUUGGUCAACAAGAUGUUCAAGGAGAUGAUUGGAGAAACGAUGGAGGUUCACUUAGACGAUAUGCUGGUCAAAAGCUUGAAAGCAACUAAUCACAUUGCCCACCUGGAGAAAAUGUUUGGCAUUCUGCGAAGGCAUCACAUGAUGUUCAACCCUUCCAAAUGCAUUUUUGGCGUAUCCUCAGGGAAAUUCAUUAGCUUCCUAGUGACUAAGCGUGGCAUUGAGGCAAAUCCUGACCAGAUUCAAGCUUUACUUGCAUUGAGCUUACCCAAAAAUAUACAUGAGAUACAACAAUUGACUGGGCGAGUAGUUGCACUUAAUAAAUUUGUCUCGAAAUCAGCAAAUAAGUGCUUGCCAUUCUUCAAAAUCUUUAGGAAGAAUAGAACCUUUGAGUGGACGAAUGAGUCCAAGAUGGAGUUUAAGCAGCUUAAGGAGUACAUUGGAUCGCCACCUCUACUCACAGUUUCUAAUAUGGGCAAAGAGCUUAUUCUAUACCUCUCCAUCUCCCAACCAUAGUGAGUGAAGUGCUUAUUCAAAAAGAAGACAAGGUUUAAAAGCCGAUAUACUAUGUUAGCAAAGUCCUCAUGAGCGCUGAGACUAGGUACUUAAAAAUUGAGAGGCUCGCCUAUGCCCUUCUGAUUGUCACUAGAAAACUUCGCCAUUAUUUUUAAGCACAUCCUAUUAUCGUAUUGACGGAUCAACCUUUGAAGCAGAUUCUCCAAUGACUUGAUACGUCAGGAAGGGUACUCAGAUGGUCUACUAAGCUAAGUGAAUUCCACAUCAACUACCAAACAAGGAUGGCAAUCAAGGCCCAAGCAUUAGCCAAUUUAUAGAUGAGUUUACACAUGACGUUGCUCCAGAGCCCGAGAUGAUUCUCCUCGAGAUGGAAAUCCCAAAGAAGCCAAGCCAAGAAAAUGAUCUUGCUAGGUGGAAACUCUUCAUGGAUGGGUCAUCCAAUCAGCAUGGCUGUGGUACAGGACUUGUUCUUCAAACUCCUUCGGGCGAGCAGUUGGAAUAUGCUAUACAUAUAGGAUUCACAGCCACCAACAAUGAAGCUGAAAAUGAGGCUUUCCUCGCUGGACUGAGGGUUGCAACAGAAUUGGAAGUAGAGUCCUUGGACGCCUUUAGUAAUUCUCAAUUUGUAGUAAACCAAGUGCAAGGGGAUUAUCUCGCCAAGGAUCUUCAAAUGGUGGUCUAUCUGAAUGAAGUGAAAGCCAUAUCCACAAAAAUUGGAGACUUCAGGACUCGCCAAAUUCCUCAAGAAGAAAAAGGUUAACGCCCUAGCUAACUUAGCCUCAACCUUCGAUUUCACCUCAAACAAAAUUAUCCCCCUGGAAUUCUUAUCAACCCCAACUAUUGAAGUUGCCAAAAUCAUCUACCAAAUAGUAGCAGAUCCAACGUGGAUGGACGAUAUAAUUGCCUACCUCAAAAAUGGGAAGCUGCCAUCAAACAAGCUCCAAGCUCACUAGAUCCGUUACUGAUUAGCCAGAUUCUGUCUCAUCCAAGGGACUUUGUAUAAGUGGUCUUUUAGGCGACCACUCUUGAGGUGUUUAUAACUUGAGGAAUCAGAUUACGUAUUUAGAGAAAUUCAUGAAGGCAUCUAUAAAAACCAUUCGGGGCAAGAUCACUUGUUAGAAAGGAUAUUCGACAAGGAUACUUCUGGCCUCAAAUGGAACGAGAUGCGAUGUCUUUCACCAAAAAAUAUGACAAGUGCCAGAGGUUUGCUCCUGUAAGUCAUGUUACUCAUACCAAGAUGGUACUUAUGACCAGCCAUGGCCAUUUGUUCAAUGGAGAAUUGACAUACUUGGAUCUCUACGUUAAGCUCCGUUACAGAGUAAAUUCUUAAUUAUCGCCAUUGACUAUUUCAGGAAGUGGAUAGAAGCAGAGCCUCUCGCCAAGAUCACUGAGAAAAAUACCAUAAUUUUAUUUGAAAAAACAUCGUUUGUCAAUUUGGAAUUUCCAAGGUUAUCAUCUCUGACAAUACGAGGCAAUUCGACAAUGAUGGAUUCAAACUAUUCUGCUCGGAUCUUGCCAUCACCAACCAUUUCUCCUUACCUGGUCAUCUUCAGGAAAAUGAUCAAGUAGAAGUCACCAAUAGAAUGAUCAUGAGGAAUUUGAAGGCGAGGUUAGAAAAAUCCAAGAGUGAAUAAGCAGAUGAUCUUCCGAGCAUACUAUGGGCUUACCACACAACAAGCGAAAUCACUACGGGCGAGACACUAUUCUCAAUGGUAUAUGGAACAGAGUCAGUCAUACUAGUGAAAAUAGGAAUGCCGAGCUUCAGGACCUCCAAUUUCGACAAGAAAAAUAAUGAAACCUAGCUAAAGCUUAACCCUGAUCUCCUUGACGAAAAGAGGGGGUGGGGUGAGGUACGCCAAGCCGUUUACAAGCACCAGGUUACCAAAUACUAUAUAACGUAAGAGCCAAACACAAGUUUUUUUACUUAGUGACUUGGUUUUGAGGAAGGUCACUUUGUCCACAUAGAAGCCCAAUGCUAGAAAGCUUAGCCCUACAUGGAAAGACCCCUACCAAGUGGUCAAAGUAUCCAGGCUGGGAACCUACUAGCUAAAAGACAUGAGUGGGAAGAUGUUGCCUCAUGCCUGGAAUGUCGAGCACUUAAAGAAGUAUUAUUAAUAGCCUCUAUGUUUGCCAUUUAAAGAAGAUUGCCAAUGUAGUAUAAUAUCGCCAAAAUUGUGUUCUAGUAAAGAAUUACUAAUUAUGAUCGCCGAAAUCUAAUAUAACUUUCUCCAGUCCAAUUUUAAUAAAUCGCCAUUAUUCGCCAAAGUGUGUUAUGUCGUUGUUACAUUUCAAAUUUUAGUUGCCAUAAUGUUGCCAAUUUUGCCAUAUAAACGAAAGCUUUUUUUAUUGCCUAACAGGAAUUUUUGUUAUUGCCAAUAUCAAGAUCACCUAUUUACUAGUUAUUGAGAAAAUUGCAAAUUAUUCGCCAAGGCAUCUUCAUCACCAAAGUUAAUUCGCCGUGAUAAUCUGAUCGCCAUAAUUAAGUUUAUUGUUUGCUCAAUUAUGUUCGCUAGACGAUCAAAUUAUGUGCGCUAAGAUCACCUCGUCUAACAAUUUUAGUCUUCCAAAUUUAUUUUUCCAUAUUUGAUAUCGCCAAUGAAAGUGAAUGCUAUAUUAUGAAGCAAAAAUUGCAGAAAGACAAUAGGGAGAUAAAAUACUUUUCAUUCAUUUAUAUUCAAAAGAUUACAUCUCACCACUACACAAAAAGGAAGAAAAAAGUACAAGUGUUUAAGGAGAGAUGAGGCUGUUCUGAUCCUCCUCCUCCUCAUUCUCUUCCUUCUCCUCUUCUUUUUCCUCUUCCUUUUUGAGCAGGUCGGCAUUGAUCCCUAUAUCUUGGAUAUUGAGGUCGGAAUCAAAGUACUUAGAGGUUGUAAAUUCAACAGCCCCCGGAAGUCAUCUGAGAACUUGAAUUCCUCGAUGGCCUUCUUCUUGGCAAGGGCUUCACCUUUGUUGAGCUCGGUCACCUCCGCCUCCAGCCUUGCCGCGGUGGCAUCCCAGUCCUUCUUCAUCUUUUU